AGGAGGUGCCACGGCCAAGAGAGCGUCUGGUGACGACAGCUGAGGCAGAGGGGCGACACGGGCCUCCUCACUGCGACUGAAGAGCACUCUGGCUCUUAGUGACAUGAGGGAAUUACGCUUCUCUGGUUAUGAAAAAAGGUUCCCAUCAUCUUCCUCCUUCCUGCCCCACAGGAAGGGGACAGGGAAAGACCCACGCUGUGGAGGUGAGGAGUAAGAACCAGGACAGGAGACUUCUGAGUGAGCUGAUGCUGAUACUGAUCAAACAUGAAAAUGGGGGAAUUCCCUGGUGGUCCAGUGGGUCAGAGGAUCUUUGCUAUUGUCCUCAAGCAUCACACUCCAAAUCCCACACAGAAAACCCUUUGGAGCAACAACCCCUCAGAGAUGAGAACCCCAGCAGAAACUCGAAGUUCCGCUGGUGUAUGGAGGGAUCUGCUG